rnacentral:rRNA from 1 species
AGAGUUUGAUCCUGGCUCAGGACGAACGCUGGCGGCGUGCCUAAUACAUGCAAGUAGAACGCUGAAGAGAGGAGCUUGCUCUUCUUGGAUGAGUUGCGAACGGGUGAGUAACGCGUAGGUAACCUGCCUUGUAGCGGGGGAUAACUAUUGGAAACGAUAGCUAAUACCGCAUAACAAUGGAUGACACAUGUCAUUUAUUUGAAAGGGGCAAUUGUUCCACUACAAGAUGGACCUGCGUUGUAUUAGCUAGUAGGUGAGGUAAUGGCUCACCUAGGCGACGAUACAUAGCCGACCUGAGAGGGUGAUCGGCCACACUGGGACUGAGACACGGCCCAGACUCCUACGGGAGGCAGCAGUAGGGAAUCUUCGGCAAUGGGGGCAACCCUGACCGAGCAACGCCGCGUGAGUGAAGAAGGUUUUCGGAUCGUAAAGCUCUGUUGUAAGUCAAGAACGGGUGUGAGAGUGGAAAGUUCACACUGUGACGGUAGCUUACCAGAAAGGGACGGCUAACUACGUGCCAGCAGCCGCGGUAAUACGUAGGUCCCGAGCGUUGUCCGGAUUUAUUGGGCGUAAAGCGAGCGCAGGCGGUUUGAUAAGUCUGAAGUUAAAGGCUGUGGCUCAACCAUAGUUCGCUUUGGAAACUAUCAAACUUGAGUGCAAAAGGGGAGAGUGGAAUUCCAUGUGUAGCGGUGAAAUGCGUAGAUAUAUGGAGGAACACCGGUGGCGAAAGCGGCUCUCUGGUCUGUAACUGACGCUGAGGCUCGAAAGCGUGGGGAGCGAACAGGAUUAGAUACCCUGGUAGUCCACGCCGUAAACGAUGAGUGCUAGGUGUUGGAUCCUUUCCGGGAUUCAGUGCCGCAGCUAACGCAUUAAGCACUCCGCCUGGGGAGUACGACCGCAAGGUUGAAACUCAAAGGAAUUGACGGGGGCCCGCACAAGCGGUGGAGCAUGUGGUUUAAUUCGAAGCAACGCGAAGAACCUUACCAGGUCUUGACAUCCCGAUGCUAUUUCUAGAGAUAGAAAGUUACUUCGGUACAUCGGUGACAGGUGGUGCAUGGUUGUCGUCAGCUCGUGUCGUGAGAUGUUGGGUUAAGUCCCGCAACGAGCGCAACCCCUAUUGUUAGUUGCCAUCAUUCAGUUGGGCACUCUAGCGAGACUGCCGGUAAUAAACCGGAGGAAGGUGGGGAUGACGUCAAAUCAUCAUGCCCCUUAUGACCUGGGCUACACACGUGCUACAAUGGUUGGUACAACGAGUUGCGAGUCGGUGACGGCGAGCUAAUCUCUUAAAGCCAAUCUCAGUUCGGAUUGUAGGCUGCAACUCGCCUACAUGGAGUCGGAAUCGCUAGUAAUCGCGGAUCAGCACGCCGCGGUGAAUACGUUCCCGGGCCUUGUACACACCGCCCGUCACACCACGAGAGUUUGUAACACCCGAAGUCGGUGAGGUAACCUUUUGGAGCCAGCCGCCUAAGGUGGGACAGAUGAUUGGGGUGAAGUCGUAACAAGGUA